rnacentral:rRNA from 1 species
UACGUAGGGUGCAGGCGUUAAUCGGAAUUACUGGGCGUAAAGCGUGCGCAGGCGGUUUGUUAAGACAGAUGUGAAAUCCCCGGGCUUAACCUGGGAACUGCGUUUGUAACUGGCAAGCUAGAGUGUGGCAGAGGGGGGUGGAAUUCCAAGUGUAGCAGUGAAAUGCGUAGAGAUGCGGAGGAACACCGAUGGCGAAGGCAGCCCCCUGGGCUAGCACUGACGCUCAGGCACGAAAGCGUGGGGAGCAAACAGG